AAAGCUCGUAGUCGGAUUUCGGGUCGGGCCGAGCGGUCUGCCGAUGGGUAUGCACUGUUCGGCGCGGCCUUCUUUCCGGAGACCGCGGCUACUCUUAACUGAGCGGGCGUGGGAGACGGAUCGUUUACUUUGAAAAAAUCAGAGUGUUUCAAGCAGGCAGCUCGCUCUUGCAUGGAUUAGCAUGGGAUAAUGAAAUAGGACUCUGGUGCUAUUUUGUUGGUUUCGAACACCGGAGUAAUGAUUAACAGGGACAGUCAGGGGCACUCGCAUUCCGUCGAGAGAGGUGAAAUUCUCAGACCAAUGGAAGACGAACCACUGCGAAAGCAUUUGCCAGGGAUGUUUUCACUGAUCAAGAACGAAAGUUAGGGGAUCGAAGACGAUCAGAUACCGUCGUAGUCUUAACCAUAAACCAUGCCGACUAGGGAUUGGAGGGUGUUCGUUUUGACCUCUUCAGCACCUUACGGGAAACUAAAGUCUUUGGGUUCCGGGGGGAGUAUGGUCGCAAGGCUGAAACUUAAAGGAAUUGACGGAAGGGCACCACCAGGAGUGGAGCCUGCGGCUUAAUUUGACUCAACACGGGGAAACUUACCAGGUCCAGACAUCGGAAGGAUUGACAGAUUGAGAGCUCUUUCUUGAUUCGAUGGGUGGUGGUGCAUGGCCGUUCUUAGUUGGUGGAGUGAUUUGUCUGGUUAAUUCCGUUAACGAACGAGACCUUAGCCUGCUAAAUAGUUCCGGUAACUUCUUGUUGGCGGUCAACUUCUUAGAGGGACAACUUGUGAACAACAAGUGGAAGUUUGAGGCAAUAACAGGUCUGUGAUGCCCUUAGAUGUUCUGGGC
rnacentral:rRNA from 1 species